rnacentral:rRNA from 1 species
AGCGGAGGAAAAGAAACCAACAGGGAUUGCCUCAGUAACGGCGAGUGAAGCGGCAAAAGCUCAAAUUUUAAAGCUGGCACCUCCGGUGUCCGCGUUGUAAUUUUGUGAGGCAUCUCCGGGUGGGGCGCCGGCCUAAGUUCCUUGGAACAGGACGUCAUAGAGGGUGAGAAUCCCGUGCUUGGCUGGCUGUCCCUGUCCAUGUGAGGUGUCUUCGACGAGUCGAGUUGUUUGGGAAUGCAGCUCAAAAUGGGUGGUAAAUUUCAUCUAAAGCUAAAUAUUGGUGGGAGACCGAUAGCGCACAAGUAGAGUGAUCGAAAGAUGAAAAGCACUUUGAAAAUAGAGUUAAAAAGUACGUGAAAUUGUUGAAAGGGAAGCGCUUGAGACCAGACUUCGGUGGGGAGUGAUCAGCCGUCCUUCUGGGCGGUGCACUUGCCCCCCUCCGGGCCAGCAUCGGUUGGGACGGCGGGAUAAAGGUCCCGGGAAUGUGGCUCCUCUCGGGGAGUGUUAUAGCCCGGGUGAAUGCCGCCAGCCCCGACCGAGGACCGCGCCUUCGGGCUAGGAUGCUUGGCAUAAUGGUCUUCAGCGACCCGUCU